UGGACCUGCGUUUCUAAAGUGUAAUUAGAGAAAGGAGAGAGUAAUAGGAAACAAGAAGAAUAACAAAAGACGGGACAUUAGUCCCAUCUUUCAGCAAAGCGUCAUUGGGGUCUUCAAGUCGUCGCAGAGCCUUGGUCUGGAAAUCGAUCCCGC